GACGAACGCUGGCGGCGUGCCUAACACAUGCAAGUCGAACGGAAUCAAGAGGAGCUUGCUCUUCUUGACUUAGAGGCGGACGGGUGAGUAACGCGUGAGUAACCUGCCCUGGAGUGGGGGACAACAGUUGGAAACGACUGCUAAUACCGCAUAAGCUCACGGAUCCGCAUGGGUCUGCGGGGAAAGGAUUUGUUCGCUUCAGGAUGGACUCGCGUCCAAUUAGCUAGUUGGUGGGGUAACGGCCCACCAAGGCGACGAUUGGUAGCCGGACUGAGAGGAUGAACGGCCACACUGGGACUGAGACACGGCCCAGACUCCUACGGGAGGCAGCAGUGGGGAAUAUUGCACAAUGGGGGAAAGCCUGAUGCAGCGACGCCGCGUGGAGGAUGAAGGUUUUAGGAUUGUAAAGUCCUGUCGUUAGGGACGAUAAUGACGGUACCUGACGAGAAAGCACCGGCUAACUACGUG
rnacentral:rRNA from 1 species